AAAAGUUGUCAUGAUCACACUAACUAUGAUAACUCUGUAGGCAUUACUUCGAACAAGCGAUUAAAAGUAUCUGACAUGAAAGCCCUUCUACGAGUGAUUAACCUGGUCGUGAUUAGCGUGGUGGUGAUUCUUAUCACACCGUGCGGGGCUUCGCUCGGAGAAAGAAAGGCUUAAAAAUCAAGUCUGAAUUCAACGAAACCCCCCGCACCGAAAGGUCCGGGGGUUUUUUUUAUCCAGACAUUCAGUUAGUGACUUAAGGCGGAGCAAACAAUGAACAGCAGCAUAAUAUUCUGUGGUUCUCGCCGAAA
rfam:Erwinia sp. EM595 isolate E_g_EM595 genome assembly, chromosome: 1